rnacentral:rRNA from 1 species
GACGAGCCUCACAAACGUUAUUCGGAAUUACUGGGCUUAAAGGGUGCGUAGGCGGCGUAGAAAGUUGGGUGUGAAAUCCCUCGGCUCAACCGAGGAACUGCGCCCAAAACUACUAUGCUCGAGGGAGAUAGAGGAAUGCGGAACUUAGGGUGGAGCGGUGAAAUGCGUUGAUAUCCUAGGGAACACCGGUGGCGAAAGCGGCAUUCUGGAUCUCUUCUGACGCUGAGGCACGAAAGCUAGGGUAGCAAACGGG